rnacentral:rRNA from 1 species
UCGGGAAUUUUGGGCAAUGGGCGAAAGCCUGACCCAGCAACGCCGCGUGAAGGAUGAAGUAUUUCGGUAUGUAAACUUCGUAAGAAUGGGAAGAAUAAAUGACGGUACUAUUUGUAAGGUCCGGCUAACUACGUGCCAGCAGCCGCGGUAAUACGUAGGGACCAAGCGUUGUUCGGAUUUACUGGGCGUAAAGGGCGCGUAGGCGGCAAUUCAAGUCAUCUGUGAAAUCUCCGGGCUUAACUCGGAACGGUCAGAUGAUACUGCUUUGCUAGAGUGCAGAAGGGGCAAUCGGAAUUCUUGGUGUAGCGGUGAAAUGCGUAGAUAUCAAGAGGAACACCUGAGGUGAAGACGGGUUGCUGGGCUGACACUGACGCUGAGGCGCGAAAGCCAGGGGAGCAAACAGGAUUAGAUACCCACGUAGUCCCUGAGCGGGCUGGCAAGGCGCAU